ACUCCUACGGGAGGCAGCAGUGGGGAAUAUUGCACAAUGGGCGCAAGCCUGAUGCAGCCAUGCCGCGUGUGUGAAGAAGGCCUUCGGUUGUAAAGUACUUUCAGCAGUGAGGAAGGUGGUGUCGUUAAUAGCGGCAUCAUUUGACGUUAGCUGCAGAAGAAGCACCGGCUAACUCCGUGCCAGCAGCCGCGGUAAUACGGAGGGUGCGAGCGUUAAUCGGAAUUACUGGGCGUAAAGCGCAUGCAGGUGGUUUGUUAAGUCAGAUGUGAAAGCCCGGGGCUCAACCUCGGAAUUGCAUUUGAAACUGGCAGACUAGAGUACUGUAGAGGGGGUAGAAUUUCAGGUGUAGCGGUGAAAUGCGUAGAGAUCUGAAGGAAUACCGGUGGCGAAGGCGGCCCCCUGGACAGAUACUGACACUCAGAUGCGAAAGCGUGGGGAGCAAACAGGAUUAGAUACCCUGGUAGGAUAGCG
rnacentral:rRNA from 1 species